rnacentral:rRNA from 1 species
CGCAACUACACAAUGCAUGURCWUACGGAAGGGUGCAUUUAUUAGAACAAAACCAAACCGCUUGCGGUUUUUUGUUGACUCARAAUAACUCAGCUGAUCGCAUGGUCUUGUACCGGCSWUGUGUCUAUCGAGUAUCUGCCUUAUCAACUUUCGAUGGUAGUGUAACUGACUACCAUGGUGGUGACGGGUAACGGAGUAUAAGGGUUCGACUCCGGAGAAGGCGCCUGAGAAAUGGCGACUACGUCUAAGGAUGGCAGCAGGCGCGCAAAUUACCCACUCUCAGAAUGAGGAGGUAGUGACGAGAAAUAACGAGACCGUUCUCUUUGAGGACGGUCAUUGGAAUGGGUAGAAUAUAAACCCUUUAACGAGUAUCUAUGAGAGGGCAAGUCUGGUGCCAGCAGCCGCGGUAAUUCCAGCUCUCAAAAUGCAUAGAAAUAUUGCUGCGGUUAAAAAGCUCGUAGUUGGAUCUGUGCUAGAGACUUGGUCCACCUUCGGGUGCGUACUGAGCUCUCUUGCUUUUCUGCCGGUUUUCCCAGCAUGGCUUUAAACGGCUGUGUUGGGUGGCUGGUGAUUUUACUUUGAACAAAUCAGAGUGAUUCAAACAGGCGUUUCGCUUGUAUGUUUUUGCAUGGAAUAAUAGAAGAGGAUCUCGGUUCUAUUUUUAUUGGUUUUAUAGACCGAAAUAAUGGYKUAACAGAGACGAACGGGGGCAUUAGUACUGUUGSGKGARRAGGKGAAAUAAUA